UCUGCCUCCUCGGCCUGAACCAACUUCUCUACGGGGGGGACUAGCCCAACCUCUCCAGCGAAAGGAAUGGGGGAGGGCUUACGCUGCAAGGGCUUGAACCAUCUGGGUGCCCCGAACUGAACCAACCUCUAUAGAGACGGGAGCUGGAGGUUUCUUUGUCACCUCAGCUAUCCAGUUUCAGAUGAAUGUCUGGUAACAUCCCAAGUCUACAAGCGCUGGAGUCUGUUGGCUCUCUGCUUCAACUGGGAUUCUCCGGGGAUGGCCGGAGCAGCCCUGGGAUGGCCUGCCGACGGACGGACAGAGUGACCCCAGCCCUGGGCCAGCCGGACGGAGCAGCCCCAGCCCCUCUCCCUUUAAUUGUAAUGGAAUCUGUCCGCACCCAGUGGGCUCAGCAAAGGAGUAUGGGCUGAAGAUAGAGCUGGAGGAAGAACUGGAGAUGGGUGAGGAGCUGGAGCUAGAAGCAGAACUGACCUGGAGGCGGAGUGGGAAUGAGAGCAGAGCUGGCCUGGGGGCGAAUGCAGCUGGGGCUGGAGCUGGAGCUGGACUGGGAGCGGAACGGGGCUGGGUGAAGCUCCCUCCCUGCCCCUCAUGGGGCUUGGCCUAGGCCCUGUGGCAUACCCUCCUCUGAACAUUCCUCUGCACCUCCCUUGGGUGGUGACCCACUGGUGCAGUAAAUCAGUUUUUGUAUGGAUACUGUAACUUUAAGAUUCCUGCCCCUCCGUCUGGGACCACCUUUCUUAAGAUG